CCUAAUUCAAAUCUAUCCAAUGAAGUGUCUCACACGCUUUUGGCAUCUCUUAGCUGUCCCAAAAGCUCCUUUCCCUUUUCCAGCUGUGCCAGCCUGUCCAAGGCUCUUCCCUUAUCCUUUCCAACGGAUAGAUCAGAUGGUAAUAGACUUGAGUAACUCCUUCUUCCUAACCGCGUUACUCGGGUAAGUUUAUGGUUGAUGUUUGGCCGAUCCUCCCAUGUACGGAUGGUACGGCCCGUACGGCCUAGGUCGAGCCAAACACUCCCAUUCAUUCCUAAGCUUCCUCCUCUUCAGCUAUCUCAACCCAUCAUCUCUUCUCUUCUUAUUCCUCAUCUCAUCUCAACACUCCCCCU
rnacentral:lncRNA from 1 species